GUGCUUCUGAUUGGAUCUGGAGCGUUACAUCACCACUUUCAAGAUGAAGAGUUCACUCUGCUUACUGCUGCUCUCAUUCAGCGUACACCGUUUAAAAUGUCAAAGUAUGGAGUCCAUUGAAAGCACGGUUCAGAAAAAGCCUGGAGAAACUCUGACUCUGUCCUGUAGAGGAUCCGGGUUCAGCUUUGACUGCUGUAGCAUGCACUGGAUCAGACAACAAGCUGGAAAACCUCUCGUGUGGAUUGGACGUGUUAAUAGUGAUGGUAACAGCCAUGACUACGCCGAAGCCUUCAACAGACGAACUGAAAUCACCAGAGAUAAUUCAAAGAAUAUGGUAUAUCUGAAACUGUCGGGCCUGACAACAGAAGACUCAGCCACAUAUUACUGCGCAAAACAAACACAGUGACACAAAGUUCUUGAACGGCUGAACAAAAACCACUUGAGUGUUUCAUCUCUUGUCACUAGAGUUCAACAGGUGGCAGCAGAGAAUAAAAAAUCCAUUAAAUACAGCCUAAUGACAAGAUAUACCAUCUGUCACAUCAUUAUUAAAGCCUAUUAUAUUACUGUUAAAUUUACAAUACACUAUAAAAGCUCUAACAUCACACAGCACAAAUGCAUAUCUGACUGCUUUAACACAACACAUAUUUUUGAUACGUAGAUUUGUGGUAGUGGCUACACAUUUUACAGUGACAAACUAAAAG